UACGUAGGGACCAAGCGUUGUUCGGAUUUACUGGGCGUAAAGGGCGCGUAGGCGGCAAAUUAAGUCAUCUGUGAAAUCUCCGAGCUUAACUCGGAACGGUCAGGUGAUACUGAUCUGCUAGAGUGCGGAAGGGGCAAUCGGAAUUCUUGGUGUAGCGGUGAAAUGCGUAGAUAUCAAGAGGAACACCUGAGGUGAAGACGGGUUGCUGGGCCGACACUGACGCUGAGGAGCGAAAGCAUGGGGAGCGAACAGG
rnacentral:rRNA from 1 species